AAAUGCAGACGGACAGAUGGUAGUGGAUUUUGCCCAAAAGGAUGGAAAUGGCUGCGAUGAACCCAAACUUCAAGAAGAGGGUGGAACAUAGGAUGACACAUGAGAGUCAUGAGCUAUACCAUGAAGAUAUGGGAAAGAGCUGCUAAAGCUAGAAUAAGAAGAGCAGCAGUAUGGUUUCAUGCUGAGAAAGAGCACGACAAAGAGCAGCUUCAAUAACAACAGAACCUCCAGGAUUUACUCUUUAAAUCAGGAGACUUACUGCUGUUCAUGUUUUUCAGAUGGAGGCAGCAGGCUAAGCUACGUAUUCUGGAUGUUGCUUUCAUCAGCGAUGUUCUGCAGUUCCUCCUGGAGGAUGCUAAGCUGUUCCUGGACCAGGUAGAAGAGAACAGGCUCCAGUUAGAAGUGAUGGAUGGAGGAAAUUUUACUUCGGUUAACAAAGAGGAGGAAAAGAAUUACACUGGAUCAUCUGUUCAGCAGGAA